rnacentral:rRNA from 1 species
GCCAAAUAACUAGCCUAAUAACCAACACAACUUCACACCAUAUAUAAACUAAUAUAUAACCAAACCAAUUAACUAAACCAUUCUUAACCUUAGUAUGGGAGACAGAAAAGGCCACAUAGAGCAAUAGAAAAAGUACCGCAAGGGAACGUUGAAAGAGAAAUGAAACAACCCAUAUAAGCCAAAAAAACCAAAGACUAAACCUUGUACCUUUUGCAUCAUGAUUUAGCUAGUCAACUCAAGCAAAGAGAACUUUAGUUUAGAACCCCGAAACCAAGUGAGCUACCCCGAGACAGCCUAAAUUAAUUUAGGGCCAACCCGUCUCUGUGGCAAAAGAGUGGGAAGAACUCUGGGUAGAGGUGACAGACCUAUCGAACUUGGUGAUAGCUGGUUGUCUAGGAAGUGAAUAUAAGUUCAGCCUCGUAUAACCCAAACCAAAAUUAUAAUUAAGGCACACAGGCAAAAUACGAGAGUUAGUUUAAGGAGGUACAGCCCCUUAAACAAAGGACACAACCUUAACAGGAGAAUAAAGAUUAUAUUACCUAAAACAUAUUGUCCCAGUGGGCCUAAAAGCAGCCACCUAAACAGAAAGCGUUAAAGCUCAAACAAACAAAAGUUUAUUAUACCUAUAAACAAUCUUACUUCCCCAAAAAUACUAGACCACUCCAUGCACCCAUGGAAGAGAUUAUGCUAAAAUGAGUAACAAGAAGAACUUAACCUUCUCCAAGCACAAGUGUAAGUCAGAUCGGACCAACCACUGACAAUUAACGAACCCAAACAAAGAGGGAAAUAUGAAUAACACAAAAAUCAAGAAAACCCCAUACCUCGUAAUCGUUACCCCCACACUGGCAUGCAUUAAAGGAAAGACUAAAAGAAUCAAGGAAGGAACUCGGCAAACCCAAGCCUCGCCUGUUUACCAAAAACAUCGCCUCCUGCAAACUUAAGUAUAGGAGGUCCAGCCUGCCCAGUGACCACAAGUUUAACGGCCGCGGUAUUUUAACCGUGCAAAGGUAGCGCAAUCACUUGUCCUUUAAAUAGGGACCUGUAUGAAUGGUUAGACGAGGGCUUAACUGUCUCCCUUUUCCAGUCAGUGAAAUUGAUCUAUCCGUGCAGAAGCGGGUAUAACUAUACAAGACGAGAAGACCCUUUGGAGCUUAAGGUACAAGACUCACCCAUGUAAAACAAGCUUUUAUAAACCCCUAAACUUAAUGGAAAAUGAAACUUUACCUUCGGUUGGGGCGACCACGGAGAAAAAAACAGCCUCCAAGUGGAAUGGAUAUUAUCCAAAACUAAGACGCACACCUCUAAGUAACAGAACAUCUGACCAAACUUGACCCGGCCACAAAGCCGAUCAACGAACCAAGUUACCCAAGGGAUAACAGCGCAAUCCCCUUCCAGAGUCCAUAUCGACGAGGGGGUUUACGACCUCGAUGUUGGAUCAGGACAUCCUAAUGGUGCAGCCGCUAUUAAGGGUUCGUUUGUUCAACGAUUAAAGUCCUACGUGAUCUGAGUUCAGACCGGAGUAAUCCAGGUCAGUUUCUAUCUGUAACGCCACUUUUCCUAGUACGAAAGGAUCGGAAAAGAGGGGCCAACCCAACAAGUGCGCCCCGCCCCAAAUUAAUGAACCAAAAUUAAUUAAAUAAAAGGGAGCAUAAGU